UGGAUUGUUGAUGACUACUGGUGGCAUAUGAGUCAUCUACAAUGAAUAUGACUCUGGAACUCUGAGGUGUGU
ensembl:snoRNA